rnacentral:rRNA from 1 species
GACGAACGCUGGCGGCGUGCUUAACACAUGCAAGUCGAGCGGUAGGGCCCUUUCGGGGGUACACGAGCGGCGAACGGGUGAGUAACACGUGGGUGACCUGCCCUUAGCUCUGGGAUAAGCCUGGGAAACUGGGUCUAAUACCGGACAUGACUCCAUGACGCAUGUUGUGGGGUGGAAAGCCUUGUGCGGCUAGGGAUGGGCCCGCGGCCUAUCAGCUUGUUGGUGGGGCGAUGGCCUACCAAGGCGACGACGGUAGCCGGCCUGAGAGGGCGACCGGCCACACUGGGACUGAGACACGGCCCAGACUCCUACGGGAGGCAGCAGUGGGGAAUCUUGCGCAAUGGGCGAAAGCCUGACGCAGCGACGCCGUGUGGGGAUGACGGCCUGGUGU